UCGUAACAAGGUCUCCGUUGGUGAACCAGCGGAGGGAUCAUUACUGAGUUUACGCUCUACAACCCUUUGUGAACAUACCUACAACUGUUGCUUCGGCGGGUAGGGUCUCCGCGACCCUCCCGGCCUCCCGCCUCCGGGCGGGUCGGCGCCCGCCGGAGGAUAACCAAACUCUGAUUUAACGACGUUUCUUCUGAGUGGUACAAGCAAAUAAUCAAAACUUUUAACAACGGAUCUCUUGGUUCUGGCAUCGAUGAAGAACGCAGCGAAAUGCGAUAAGUAAUGUGAAUUGCAGAAUUCAGUGAAUCAUCGAAUCUUUGAACGCACAUUGCGCCCGCCAGCAUUCUGGCGGGCAUGCCUGUUCGAGCGUCAUUUCAACCCUCAAGCUCUGCUUGGUGUUGGGGCCCUACAGCCGAUGUAGGCCCUCAAAGGUAGUGGCGGACCCUCCCGGAGCCUCCUUUGCGUAGUAACUUUACGUCUCGCACUGGGAUCCGGAGGGACUCUUGCCGUAAAACCCCCCAAUUUUCCAAAGGUUGACCUCGGAUCAGGUAGGAAUACCCGCUGAACUUAAGCAUAUCAAUAAGCGGAGGA
rnacentral:rRNA from 1 species